AAUUGGAGGGCAAGUCUGGUGCCAGCAGCCGCGGUAAUUCCAGCUCCAAUAGCGUAUAUUAAAGUUGUUGCAGUUAAAAAGCUCGUAGUUGAAUUUCGGGAUUGACGUGAUGGUCGUGCCUUAAGGGGUAUGAACUGUUGCUGUUGAUUUCUCACCUUCUGGAGAAACUUGAUGUCCUUAAUUGGGUGUCUUGCGGAUCCAGGACCUUUACCUUGAAAAAAUUAGAGUGUUUAAAGCAGGCAUUUUGCUCGAAUACAUUAGCAUGGAAUAAUAGAAUAGGACGGCAUGGUUCUAUUUUGUUGGUUUCUAGGAUCACCGUAAUGAUUAAUAGGGAUAGUUGGGGGCAUUAGUAUUCAAUUGUCAGAGGUGAAAUUCUUGGAUUUAUUGAAGACUAGCUACUGCGAAAGCAUUUGCCAAGGAUGUUUUCAUUAAUCAAGAACGAAAGUUAGGGGAUCGAAGACGAUCAGAUACCGUCGUAGUCUUAACCAUAAACUAUGCCGACUAGGAAUCAGACGAUGUUAAUUUUUUAAUGACUCGUUUGGCACCUUACGGGAAACCAAAGUGU
rnacentral:rRNA from 1 species